rnacentral:lncRNA from 1 species
UGAGCCAUCUACCAUAAGAUUAAGGAGCAAUAUUGGUCGAAGAAUCUCUACAAAGAUGUGGAGGAUUUUGUGCCUUAUUGUACUAAAUGCCAAUUAUAGUCCAAAGUCAAAUUUAGAAAUAAGUUGUAUUCUACCUAUCCACUUGCUAUGCAUUUUCAAUAGAUGAUUGAUUUAGUAGCUAUACCAUUAAGAUUAUGGGGCAUGAAGUAUCUUGUUUUUGCAAAAGAAGAGCUCUUAAAUUAUGUUGAAGGUAGAGAUUUGAAGACCAAGACCAUAGAUGGAGUUUGUAGAUUCAUCUUAGAAGAUAUCUUAAAUAAAUAUAAUAACAUUUGAAGAAUGAGGGUUGAUCAAGGAGAAUUAGAUGCAAUAGAGGCCAAAUUAUUUUUCAAAGAUAUGAUGUGAAGUUAAAGCUGACAACUGC